AGAGUUUGAUCCUGGCUCGGAACGAACGCUGGCGGCGUGCUUAACACAUGCAAGUCGAAACGCGAAAAGGGACUUCGGUCCUGAGUAAAGUGGCGCACGAGUGAGUAACGCGUGGAUAAUCUACCCAAUGAUCUGGGAUAACAUCUCGAAAGGGGUGCUAAUACUGGAUAAGACCACGGAGUCUCUGGAUUCUGCGGUAAAAGGUGGGACCUUCGGGCCUACCGUCAUCGGAUGAGUCCGCGUACCAUUAGCUAGUUGGUGGGGUAAUGGCCUACCAAGGCUACGAUGGUUAGCUGGUCUGAGAGGAUGAUCAGCCACACUGGAACUGAAACACGGUCCAGACUCCUACGGGAGGCAGCAGUGGGGAAUAUUGCGCAAUGGGGGAAACCCUGACGCAGCGACGCCGUGUGAGGGAAGAAGGCUUUCGGGUCGUAAACCUCUGUCGGGAGGGAAGAACCCUCUGUAGGGUGAAUAGCCUACGGAACUGACGGUACCACCAAAGGAAGCACCGGCUAACUCCGUGCCAGCCGCCGCGGUAAUA
rnacentral:rRNA from 1 species